rnacentral:misc_RNA from 1 species
AACUUUCGACAACGGUCUCUUGGUUCUGGCAUCGAUGAAGAACGCAGCGAAAUGCGAUAAGUAGUGUGACUUGCAGAAUUCAGUGAAUCAUCGAAUCUUUGAACGCACAUUGCGCCCUUCGGUAUUCCGUUGGGCAUGCCUGUUCGAGCGUCAUUUAAACCUUCAAGCUCUGCUUGGUGUUGGGUGUUUGUUCCGCCUCUGUGCGUGGACUCGCCUCAAAUUCAUUGGCAGCCGGUAUGUUGGCUUCGUGCGCAGCACAUUGCGUCUCGACUCGGACUAUCUCCUUCCAUCAAGCCUCUUUUUUACUUUGACCUCGGAUCAGGUAGGGAUACCCGCUGAACUUAAGCAUAUCAAUAAGCGGAGGCU